rnacentral:rRNA from 1 species
GGGCCCGCACAAGCGGUGGAUGAUGUGGAUUAAUUCGAUGCAACGCGAAAAACCUUACCUACCCUUGACAUGCCAGGAACCUCGCAGAGAUGUGAGGGUGCCCGAAAGGGAGCCUGGACACAGGUGCUGCAUGGCUGUCGUCAGCUCGUGUCGUGAGAUGUUGGGUUAAGUCCCGCAACGAGCGCAACCCUUGCCGAUAGUUGCUACGAAAGGGCACUCUAUCGGGACUGCCGGUGACAAACCGGAGGAAGGUGGGGAUGACGUCAAGUCCUCAUGGCCCUUAUGGGUAGGGCUUCACACGUCAUACAAUGGUCGGUACAGAGGGCUGCCAACCCGCGAGGGGGAGCAAAUCCCAGAAAGCCGAUCGUAGUCCGGAUUGCAGUCUGCAACUCGACUGCAUGAAGUCGGAAUCGCUAGUAAUCGCGGAUCAGCAUGUCGCGGUGAAUACGUUCCCGGGCCUU